AUUCCAAUCGAACUCGGAGAUAGCUGGUUCUCCCCGAAAUAGCUUUAGGGCUAGCGUCGGAUAUGUGUAGUGGAGGUAGAGCACUGAAUGGGCUAGGGGGCAUAUCGCUUACCGAACCUUAUCAAACUCCGAAUGCCAUAUACAUUAAGUCCGGCAGUCAGACUACGAAUGAUAAGAUCCGUGGUCAAAAGGGAAACAGCCCAGACCGUCAGCUAAGGUCCCAAAGUGUAAGUUAAGUGGAAAAGGAUGUGGGAUUUCUAAGACAACUAGGAUGUUGGCUUAGAAGCAGCCACUCAUUUAAAGAGUGCGUAAUAGCUCACUAGUCGAGAGAUCCUGCGCCGAAAAUGUACCGGGGCUAAACUUACCACCGAAGCUACGGAUUUGCAAGUAAUUGCAAGUGGUAGGGGAGCGUCGUAAUCGGGCUGAAGUCGUACCGUAAGGAGCGGUGGACUGAUUACGAGUGAGAAUGUUGGCAUUAGUAGCGAGAUGUAGGUGAGAAUCCUACAGGCCGAAUAUCUAAGGUUUCCUCAGGAAGGCUCGUCCGCUGAGGGUUAGUCGGGACCUAAGCCGAGGCCGAAAGGCGUAGGCGAUGGACAAUCGGUUGAUAUUCCGAUACCACUACCAUCGUUAUUAUCGAGGGUGUGACGGAGAAGGAUAGUGUGUGCUAGCGAUUGGAAAUGCUAGUCUAAGCGUUUAGGGAGUUACGGUAGGCAAAUCCGCUGUAACAAUUCUGAGGCGUGAUGGGGAAGGUCAUUAAGACCGAAGUACAUGAUUCCAUGCUUCCAAGAAAAGCAUCUAGAGAGAGAAGUAGUGCCCGUACCGCAAACCGACACAGGUAGAUGAGGAGAGAAUCCUAAGGCCGGCGGAAGAAUUGCAGUUAAGGAACUAGGCAAAUUGACCCCGUAAGUUCGCGAGAAGGGGUGCCUGCGAGAGCAGGCCGCAGAGAAUAGGCCCAAGCAACUGUUUAGCAAAAACACAGGUCUCUGCUAAAGCGUAAGCUGAUGUAUAGGGGCUGACGCCUGCCCGGUGCUGGAAGGUUAAGGGGAACACUUAGCGCAAGCGAAGGUGUGAACUUAAGCCCCAGUAAACGGCGGCCGUAACUAUAACGGUCCUAAGGUAGCGAAAUUCCUUGUCAGGUAAGUUCUGACCCGCACGAAUGGCGUAAUGAUUUGGGCACUGUCUCGACAGCCCGCCCGGCGAAAUUGUAGUACUGGUGAAGAUGCCAGUUACCCGCAACUAGACGGAAAGACCCCAUGGAGCUUUACUGCAGCUUAAUACUGAGAUUCGGUAAUUCAUGUACAGGAUAGGUGGGAGACUGAGAAGCAUGGCCGUCAGGUCGUGUGGAGUCACCGGUGGGAUACCACUCUUGGAUUGCUGGUUUCCUAACCUGCGGCCCUGAAUCGGGUCGGGGGACACUGUUAGACGGGCAGUUUGACUGGGGCGGUCGCCUCCAAAAGAGUAACGGAGGCGCUCAAAGGUUCGUUCAGCACGGACGGAAAUCGUGCACUGAGUGUAAACGCAUAAACGAGCCUAACUGCGAGAAUGACGGUUCGAGCAGUAACGAAAGUUGGAGUUAGUGAUCCGGCGGUAUGUGAAUGGAAAUGCCGUCGCUCAACGGAUAAAAGCUACCCUGGGGAUAACAGGCUGAUCUCCCCCAAGAGUCCACAUCGACGGGGAGGUUUGGCACCUCGAUGUCGGCUCAUCGCAUCCUGGGGCUGUAUUCGGUCCCAAGGGUUUGGCUGUUCGCCAAUUAAAGCGGCACGCGAGCUGGGUUCAGAACGUCGUGAGACAGUUCGGUCCCUAUCCGUCGCGGGCGUAGGAAAUUUGAGAGGAGCUGUCCUUAGUACGAGAGGACCGGGAUGGACUGACCUCUGGUGCACCAGUUGUUCUGCCAAGAGCAUGGCUGGGUAGCUAAGUCGGGAAGGGAUAAACGCUGAAAGCAUCUAAGCGUGAAGCCCCCCUCAAGAUGAGAUUUCCCAUAGCAUAAGCUAGUAAGACCCCUUGAAGAACACAAGGUUGAUAGGUCAGAGGUGGAAGUGCGGUAACGUAUGUAGCUGACUGAUACUAAUAGGUCGAGGGCUUGACCAA
rnacentral:rRNA from 1 species